UUUUCAGCCGCCGCGGUAAUACGGGGGGAGCAAGCGUUGUUCGGAUUUACUGGGCGUAAAGGGCGCGUAGGCGGCCACCGCAAGUCGGUUGUGAAAUCUCUGGGCUUAACCCAGAAAGGUCAACCGAUACUGCGGGGCUAGAGUGCAGAAGGGGCAACUGGAAUUCUCGGUGUAGCGGUGAAAUGCGUAGAUAUCGAGAGGAACACCUGCGGCGAAGGCGGGUUGCUGGGCUGACACUGACGCUGAAGUGCGAAAGCUAGGGGAGCGAACGGGAUUAGAUACCCCAGUAGUCC
rnacentral:rRNA from 1 species